GGUGUGAACUGAUUACCACAAUAGGUUUAAUUAACAUCCAUCAUCUAUCUCAUAUGGAUACAAUAAAAAGAAGAGAAAGAAAAUGUUUUUGUGAUGAGAACUCUUAGGAUCCACUUUCUUAUCGACUUUCCUGUACAUCCUACAGGGGUUUUUGGUUUUAUGGGGGUAUAGUUGAUUUAUAAUAUUAUAUUAGUUUCAGGUGUGCAGCAUCCUAAUUCAAUAUUUUAUAGUUUGUACUCCAUUAAAAGUUAUUACAAAAUAAUGGCUAUAAUUCCCUGUGCUGUAUAAUAUAUCCUGCUGCUGAUCUAUUUUAUACAUAGUAGUUUGUAUCUCUUAGUCCUUACCUCCUAUCUUCUCUCUCUUGCCUUCCCUCUCCCCACUGGUAGCCACUAAUUUGUUUUCUAUAUAUGUCAGUCUGUUUCUGCUUUGCUAUAUACAUUCAUUUAUUUAUUUUUUUUUAGAGUCCACAUUUAAGCGACACCAUAUGGUAUUUGUCUUUCUCUGUCUGACUUAUUUCACGCAGUAUAAUAUUCUCUAGGUCCAUCCAUGUUGUUGCAAAUGGCAGAAUUUCACUCUUUUUAAUGGCUGAGUAAUAUUCCAUUGUACAGGUAUAAUGACAUCUUCUUUAUCCAUCUGUCUUUUGAUGGACAUUUAGGUGAUUUCCAUAGCUUGGAUAUUUUAAAUAUCACUGCUAUCGAUAGGUAUGUACGUAUUACCAUCUUAUUACAUGUUUUCCUGUUGUUUUUGUAGUUCUUUUCAUUUCUUGUUUUUGUUCCUUUUCUUGCACUUUGAUGAUUUUCUUUAGUAGUAUACUUGUGUUCAUUUUGGCUUUUUGUGCAUCUAUUGUAAUUUUUUAUUGUGUUUGCCUUUGGGGCUCAUAUAUAUUGAUCUAUAACAACGUGUUUUAAACUGGUAGCUCUUUAAGUUCAAACACAUUCUAAAAGAUCUACAUUUUUCACCCUUCUCCCCCACAUCUGGUCUUUUGAUGUCAUAUUUUACAUCUUCAUGUUCGUCUGUGAACUAUUUAUUAUAUUUAUAAUCGCUUUUUACAGUUUUUAGUCUUUUAAUCUUUGAAUUGGCUGAAGUGUUUGAUUCUCAGUUAUCACCAUAGAUUUGCCCUUCCAAGUGGGAUUGUUGCUUUCCUAUAAAUUCAUUCCUUUCCCACUUAGAGAAGAGACCUUUUCCCAUUUCUUUUAGGCUGGUGGCUACAUCUCUGAUCCAACCCCUAGCCUGGGAACCCCCAUAUGCUGAGGGUAUAGCCAUAAAAAAAAAACAAAACAAAAACCAUGAGGCCCCCCAAAAGGGGCAAGUGAUUUGGGGUGUAGAGUGGUAUUGUGGGGAGAGGAUGGGCCUCUUCCUCCCCAUCCUAGGAAGAGAGUCAUUCCUUUCAACCCAUCUAGUUAGAGAAAGAGUGACGAUAGGGAGGGCGAAGUCUCUGGAUGCCAAAGAGAGGCGACCCCACACCUCCUGGAUGCAUGCAGGGAAGACCAGAAGAUUCCACAAGAAAAGUCGAUGCGGCGUUUCUAGGCAAAUAGACUCCCGGGUAGCUUUCUAAAAAACUGCAGGUUCUGAGCACGAUGCAGAAGUAGCAGAGAGCCUUGGAGGCAGCAGGGCACACUGGCUGGAUAGAUCCCCGGAGUCAUUAGCAUCCUACCCUCAAACUCCCAGCAUCUUGUCAUUGAACUUCAACAUCAGGGGAUGACAUCUGGCUGGACCUGGGAUUUUUUUUUUUUUUUUUUUUUCCCCUUUCACUACACUCUGCAUGUUAAAGACUUAGGGUCAGAACGGAAGUUGCUUUACAGAAGGAUGAAGAUAAGUGGUAGAUAGAUAACUAGCUAGGUAGAUGACAGACAGACAUAGCUAUAGAUGUGUGUGUGUCUGUGUGUUUGUUCCACCGUGUUUGAGUGUUCACUAAAUGUGAAUAUAGUUACAUCAAGUCCCCUCAACAUGACACAGGCCUUUCUCAGGACACCGCUUGUAGAUCUGCCGAGCUAAUGACAUCCUCCAAUUACUGGAAGCAGAGAGGGCCAAGCAUCUUGCGGCAUCUUCGUGUCCUUCAUUCCUGGUGUCAAGGAGCUGAAACAGCAGGUGGAGGCAUUUGCUUUUUAAAAAUAAAAUCUUAUUUGGAGCUGCCAGAGGUCAAGGCCAUAAAUCAGAGGCCUAUAUCUCCUUUUUUUGUUCUUUUAUUCGCACUUGGCCAUCUGAAUAGGGUACGUUCAUUAAUGCCGGGGAAGAGGUUGCCUGGCUUUGUGGAUCUCCAAGGGCAACAAAAGCCAUUCAUUCCUGCAUCCCCGCCUUCAUUUGUCUGUUCCAUCGGUCGCUAUAGCUUGGCAAUUAAGACAAAGAUUUUGGAAUUUCAACCAGAUGGAGCUUGGAUUUGAUUUUGCCACUUAGUGGCUGUGCGUCUUUGAGACAGUUACGUAGCUUCACUGAGCCUCGACUUGCUCAUGUAUUGUGUGGGGCUCUUUUUAUCAGUCGCUAUAGCUUGGCAAUUAAGAGAAAGGAUUUUGGAAUUUUCAUCAAAUUGAACUUAAUUUGAUUUUUGCUGCUUGGUAGCUGUGCAUCUUUGGGACAGUUAUGCAGCGUCUCUGAGCCUCGAGUUGCUCACCUACAGCGUGGGGCUUACUGUAUUUAACUGUCAGGGUGGUUCUGACCAUGAAAUGAGUUAACAAAUAUAAAGCCUACUGCAUAGUGCCUGGUAAACAGGCAGUGCUCAAUAAAUGUUAGCUCUUAUUAUAAACUCAUGAAUUUAUUAAUUCCUCCUGUCAUCAAACACUUAUUGAGUUCCUAUUGACUGGCAGACCCUGAGCUGAGUAAACUCUGCUUCCUACCUUUUGCGACCUUACAGUCAGCUGAGGUCGACAGACACAUGGGUCAAUAAAUAGAAACUCUGACAGAUUUAAUGGCAGUGUGUAGGAAGUGGUAGGACCAGGAAAGGAUUGAAUGAUUCAUCCUCUCUGUGGGGAGAUGGGGAGAUGGCUGGGGAUGGCUAAAAAAUUCUGGCUUAGGAGUUCCCGCUGUGGCUCAGGGGGUUAAGAACCUGACAUGGUGUCUGUGAGGAUGCAGGUUCAAGCCCUGGCCUCGCGCAGUGGGUUAAGGAUCCAACAUGGCUGCCAGCUGUGGUGUAGGUUGCCGAGGCAGCUUGGAUCCUGUGUUGCUGUGUGGCUGUGGUGUAGAUCUCAGCGGUAGCUCCGAUUCGACCCCUAGGCUGGGAACGUCCACAGGCUGCAGGUGUGGCUAUAAAAAAAAAAGACAAAGAAAAAAAAGUCUGGCCUAAUUGUUUAGGGAAGGUAGUAUUGGGAUGAUCAAAUGUUUUAAGCAGGGAGUGAUACGGUUUUGAUUUCGCCUCUAAAACUUCCUCGGCAGCAUACGGAAGGAUGAAACACAGUCAAAGCAGAUGGGAUUGCAGCAAAGUAGAUAGAGGGACAGAUGUGAAACCAGGCCAGCUGUGAAAUGAGGAGGGUCUGCAGUUAGGAAGAAGGGGGAUGCAGAGGGGGGGACAAGUUGGGGGCUCUCCAAGGCUGGCCGUCUCAAAGACUGGUCCUCGGGGCAGCAGCCUCUCUAGCCCCUGGGAGCUUAUAAGAAAUGCAGACUCUGGAGUUCUCAUUGUGGCUCAUUGGGUGAAGAACACCCGCCCCGCCUGGUGUCUGUGAAGAUCUGGGUUCAAUCCCUGGCCUCACUCAGUGGGUUAAGGAUCCAGCGUUGCCACAAGCUGCAGUGUAGGUCACAGAUGAGGCUCAGAUCUGGUGUGGCUCUGGGAUGCAACCAGACCUCUAGCCUGGGAAGUUGCAUAUGCCACAGGUGUGGCCAUAAAAAAAAAAAAGGAAGGGAGGGAGGGAGGACAGAAGAAA
rnacentral:lncRNA from 1 species